rnacentral:rRNA from 1 species
ACGCUCGACACCUACGGAGGCAGCAGUGGGGAAUAUUGGGCAAUGGGCGCAAGCCUGACCCAGCAACGCCGCGUGAAGGAAGAAGGCUUUCGGGUUGUAAACUUCUUUUGUCAGGGAACAGUAGAAGAGGGUACCUGACGAAUAAGCCACGGCUAACUACGUGUCAGCAGCCGCGGUAAUCUGAGCGGGCUGGCAAGGC